rnacentral:rRNA from 1 species
UGCCGCGUGUGUGAUGAAGGCCUUAGGGUUGUAAAGCUCUUUCACUGGGGAAGAUGAUGACGGUAACCAGAGAAGAAGCCCCGGCUAACUUCGUGCCAGCAGCCGCGGUAAUACGAAGGGGGCUAGCGUUGUUCGGAAUUACUGGGCGUAAAGGGAGCGCAGGCGGUUCGUUCAGUUAGGGGUGAAAUCCCCGGGCUCAACCUGGGAACUGCGCUUAAUACUGAUGAACUAGAAAGCAGGAGAGGGUAGUGGAAUUUCCAGUGUAGAGGUGAAAUUCGUAGAUAUUGGAAAGAACACCAGUGGCGAAAGCGGCUACCUGGCCUGAUUUUGACGCUGAGGCUCGAAAGCGUGGGGAGCAAACAGGAUUAGAUACCCUGGUAGUCCACGCCGUAAACGAUGACUGCUAGAUGUC